UUCGAUAUGCCCGAAGCCCUAAGUCUUCA
rnacentral:sRNA from 1 species